GCUGGUAUAGCUCAGUUGGUAGAGCGCACCCUUGGUAAGGGUGAGGUCCCCAGUUCAAAUCUGGGUACUAGCACCA
rnacentral:tRNA from 17 species